UGGGGAAUAUUGCACAAUGGGCGAAAGCCUGAUGCAGCGACGCCGCGUGAGGGAUGAAGGCCUUCGGGUUGUAAACCUCUUUCAGCAGGGAAGAAGCGCAAGUGACGGUACCUGCAGAAGAAGCGCCGGCUAACUACGUGCCAGCAGCCGCGGUAAUACGUAGGGCGCAAGCGUUGUCCGGAAUUAUUGGGCGUAAAGAGCUCGUAGGCGGUUUGUCGCGUCUGGUGUGAAAACUCGAGGCUCAACCUCGAGCUUGCAUCGGGUACGGGCAGACUAGAGUGCGGUAGGGGAGACUGGAAUUCCUGG
rnacentral:rRNA from 1 species